rnacentral:lncRNA from 1 species
AAUCAAUUCCAUAACCAAUUAAAAACUAUAACUUUAAAUCAUUCACAUAAACCAUAUCCAAUAAUUAAAACCAUACUUCAAUUCCACAUUACAUAGCCCAAGUCCAAAUGAUUGUUUCAAGUAGGACGAAAGUGAAUUACAACAAGAUUUUAUUUAUAAACAAAGCAAUCCGACAAGCAGUACACACGAACACCACUAGCCAUGCCAAACUUCAAACUGUAGAACAACCAAACAACAGCAUAAUGGUAAAAUGAACCAAAGUUGCUAGCGGUAACAAUCCCAGCUGCAAGCAAGGCUGCAACACCAAGCUAGAUGAAAAUAAUGACAUCACGGCAAUGCCAAAUUGUAGCCAAGUGCAACCUGCAACAAAUAAGAUCCUACAUAAGUGAAUCGAUCCGAUCAACCACAAUAGCCAAUGCAACUCGAUGAUAAAAAACAUUUUCAAAUUAAAUCAAAGUUUCAACCAAGUUCUCACAUGAUUCCCCAAGCUCCAACACCGUGAACAAAGCUGCGACCAAAACUGCAAUGCCGUGUACACACCAAGUGCAACCUGCAACAAAUAAGAUCCUACAUAAGUGAAUCGAUUCGAUCAACCACAAUAGCCAAUGCAACUCGAUGAUAAAAAACAUUUUCAAAUUAAAUCAAAGUUUCAACCAAGUUCUCACAUGAUUCCCCAAGCUCCAACACCGUGAACAAAGCUGCAACCAAAACUGCAAUGCCGUGUACACACCAACGCACCAACUGUGACCGAAGCAACACAGAAACAUGCACUAUCACAACAGAAACAUGGAUCAUCAGCAGAUCAUGGCAUUUAAACCAAUGCAUAAUCAUCUUCAAUAUCAUAUCUGCUGCAUAUCAAAAGAAGAAAUAAAGCAAAACCUGCAGUGAAGCCCACAAACCUAACCUAUGCAGUCCUUGGGAGACCCAAAUCAAAAGCUCUAUAAUGCAAUGAGGCAUCUCAAAAUUAGUGGUAUAUGUGAUACUAAUUCAGCAACCAUAGCAGCAUGUGUUCUACAGAACUCAAAGCAAGCAAUCACCCAAACCAACAAUACAAGACAAACAUAUCCAUAAUGGAUUGGUAAUGUGAAACAAAGUAGUGUAAUUGCAAAAUGCUGCAAACAAAAAAGCAAGUCCUGCAAUACUAAACCUGAGCCAAAACACAAGCCACACACGUUAGAGCAAUUUCAAACCAUAUCACAUAAACAAUCCAUAAGAAUACUCAUAUACGAAGAAGUCGAAUUUACAAGAUGAUGUCAUACCAAAUGGAGGGGACCACCCGAGUUUCAAACAGAUCAAAAUACGUAACUACAGACAAAGCACGAAAUGACUCAAAAUAAUUUCAAGGAUUCAUAUUUUGGUCCCCCCCAAAUCUGAGAGAAAUCAAAUUCUAAUAGAAUGAUUCCUUUCACCUCCUACCAACUCACAAUAAAAGAUGCCACAUACCUGGCUCUACAAAAAGGGACGUAUGCCAAUCAUUGUGGGGAGGACGCUAUCGUUACCCUGUAGAAAUUCAUCCGCAAAUCACACUAAAGCCUGAAAAUACUAAAGGUAGUUCAGAGUUCAUCAUCAAAACUCUGAAUGAACGGAGCUAGGCCCUGAAAAAAUCAACUAAGCACAAAAGCGAGUAGAAGGAAUGAGCCAGCUAACGAGAAGAAUGAGAGACAAGGGGAAAGCAUUUACCUUUGAAUUUGUCUUUCUGGUAAACCUCCAGACGAUUUUUUUUCCUUUUUAACUUAGUAUGUGCAUACGAGCAGGACAAGUUCAUGUUGAAAGCUGAUUUCGCUUUAUGUAUAUCCAAAUCGCGUUUUGUCUCUUGUUCAUCAUGAAAAUUCGUUGUUGCGUGAGAAAACUUGUUUGUGUGUUAGGGUCUAAUGUGAUUUCCUUGCUUGCUAAAAAUGGGUUUUGUUUAGUUUAAGGUAACAAAGCUUUAAGAUUAAUGGUUCGAUUUGAACGUUUGGUAAACAUUUAGAAGAAAAUAAGCUAGAAUUUGUGUUUAAGACGCAGAUUAGGGUAGGGUUGUUGUUUUCCCCUUAGCGUUUAGAGAUAGUGACCCAUUGGAGAGGACAGCGGCGCCAUCGCUCCUCUCUGGAGAAACCAAUGGAAGAAGAUGAUCAGAGUGGGUAGAAAAAGAAGAGUGAGUUUGGGUUGUAAGAGAGAAGAGAGUGAUAGGUUUUUCGUUGUCUUGCUGGUGAAAUUCCUUUUAAAGACUCAUUAUUUCUCAAAUUCCAUGUCUAAAAAAAUAUUUAAGGAACGAUGCAACGUGUGGAAAUUCGGUUCCUUGCUGACCGUUUUUCUUCAUUACUUUGUCUUAUUAAGAAAGGGCAUUUAAUUCUCAAUAAUUAUGAUUCAAUGUGCUGUCAGCUACUGGUCUUUCCAAUGGACUUUUUGGAUUCCCCAUUCAAUACCAUUGUUUGUAUGCCACUAAUAAUUUAUUGAAAGAGAGAAGGUGUGGCCGACUACCUCCUUCCCUUCCGUCUUUUUUAGGUUUUUUCGCUACCUGGGUUGGACUUGGGCCUUCGACCCAACCCGGUGGACAGAGGUAGCACCAUUGGGCUUCAUGAGCCCUUGUGGUUUGCUACUCUUGGGAAAACCCCCAUUUUAUUGCAUACCCUAUUUUAUUUUACUUUUUUUAUAUUGUAUUCGUCUAUUUUCUAUUUUAAUGUUUAUUUAAUUUUUUGGAUAAGAUGAUAAUAUUAAUAUUAGUAAAUAACGAUACAUUAUUUUAAAUGGACAAGUUGUUAUAAUUGCAUUCUUUUAUCCUUAUUUUAUUUUAGUUGUUAUACUUACAUUCUUUAGGAUAUUAGAAUUAAAAAAUUAGUUAAUUGUUGUUAUUAAUAAAUGGACAAGUCAUUAUACUUUAUUGUAAAAAUAGUUAAACCUUGGUCCAACACCAAAUAAUCUUUUUCAAAUCUGAUUAACUCUUUGAAAUCAAAUUCAAAAUCUUUUUUCGAUACGACUUCUAAGAACAUUUUUAUAACUUAAACUAUGGAUGAAAAGGAGUAUACUAAGCGUCUGCUUCACUAUCUCUCGAGUAUUCCAACAAUUGGCGUUCGCCAUAUUGCUCGAAUUCUCGUCGUCUAAUUAAAACCCUAAAACAUACAAAUUCUAACCAUUUUCUGAAUCAAAUAUAACUUCUAAAGAAUAUUCUUUCAUAACUUAAACUUCAGAUGAAAAAGAGUAUAAGAGGCGUUCGCUUUGCUAUCUCUCGAGUAUUCAAAUGAUUGGCAUUCGCCAUAUUACUCGAAUUCUUGUCGCUCGAUUAAAACCUUACCAAAUUCGAAUUCAAAUCAUUUAUUCCAAAUUAAUAUAAUUUCUAAGAAUUUUAUUUUAGUUAAACUUUGGAUGAAAAAGAAUGGGAGGCGUUCGCCUCACCAUCUCUCGAAUAAUUGAAUGAUUGGCGCUCGCCAUAUUUCUCAAGUUACCGUCUUCCAAUUAAAACACACUAAAUGAACUUAGAUAAAGGAAUGGGUGGUGCACGCCUCAUUGUUCCUUGAAUAAGCAAGCGGGAGGCGCACGCCUCACUAUAAUGCAUAUUCAAUUUCUGCAAACACUUUUCAAUAAUAAUGUGAACGAAAAAGGAAAUAAAAGGCGUUCGCCUUGUUAUUCCUCGAAGAAUUGAACGAUUGGUGUGCACCACAUUACUCAGUCUUUUGUCGUUCUUCUUCAAAAUACCAAAUAUAUUAAGCCUAAUUUCUCUCCCCCGUGCGACCAACAACUUAAAUCUUUUUAGAAAGAAUACUAUUUAAUCCUUUCUAACGCGCACAACAAACUAGUGCUUAAGCCUCCGCUGAGAGUAGACAAGCCAACGUUUAGCCUUUAGGAUGCGAUCUAAACAGUCAUUCAUAAAAGACGCCAACAAACCGUAGUUCCCCGAACUACGAAUGAUCUGAUUUUCUUAUUGUACUAUAAGGAUAUGUAGGCACGAGAUUGCGAGAUCUUGGCGAGCACACUAAUAAAAAACCUCCCUUUCCCCCCUUCUGAGGUUUCCAUCCAUCUCUAUUUUUAAUCCUUUAUUUAGUCUAAGAAAAAAAACAACAUUCAUAUAAUAUUCAAAUCUCAAAUUAGAACUAAAAGGUUCCCGUUGAGUACAACGGACGUGAGGGGUGCUAAUACCUUCCCUUUGCGUAAUCAACUCCCGAACCCGAAUACGGUUGCGACGACCAUUAUUCUAUUUUCAAAGGUUUUAUCGAUAUUUUCCUAUUCCUUCAUUGGAAUAAAUAAAGUUUGAUGGCGACUCUGUUCGAACUAAUUUUUUCCGCGACCAUCACGAGGAAUUGUAUUUUUCGAGAUGCGAUAGUUGGCGACUCUGCUGGGGAGUCUGCUCCUAGCAAGAGAGAGUCAAACCUAUUUUAGUUCCAUUUUCUAUGAAUGUUAAAAUUCUAUUCUUUUCUUCCACGUUCCUCCUCUGUAUCUUAUUAUGUUACUUAUGCUAUAUGUGAUUUAUUUUGAUACUGUGAUGGGUGGUCUAUGGGGCUUGAUGAAUGCUGCGAGAUAGGCUUCGUACCCAAGCUUUCAGAAGAACUUAGAACCCGAAGUUGUGUAGUAUUGAACCGAGGGGUAUACACCUCGUUGGAACAAUACGAAGAUUCCACCUAGAGUAGAUCUAUUUAAAAUUUCCCUCACAAUAUGGCUAGCCCAUUAUGGUGGGGAAAUUUUAAAUAUGAUCCGUAACUCUAGGAACCUCACCUUAAACCCAAGGUCUGUUUUCACAGUUGGCGAUUGUGUAGUAUUGAACUGAAGGGUCUACACCCUGUUCGAACAAUACGAAGAUCCCACUUAGAUUAGAUCGAUUCAAAACAUUCAUCAUGAUGUGUGUAACACCCCGAUAAAAAAAUAAGAUAAUUAUUUAAUUUAAGUUAAUAUUAUAUUUAUUAAUUUAAUUAAAUAAUUGGAAUUAUUGGAUUAUUAUUAUUAUUAUUGGAAUAAAAGUUGGAAUUAGACCUAAUCAGAUCACACAUAUUCAGCAACGACAUAUCAACUCAUAAUCAUCAUCUCACAUACUCAAACUCAACACAACCAUAAAACAUACGUAUAUAUUGGAAUACAUCCAUUCAUAUUAUACGCCAUACAUACAUGCAUACAUUAUGCAAUGAGACUCCAUGCAUGCGGUACGGACUAUUCGUGAACAUAUAGUUCAACCUCACCGAUCAAAUCCAGAUACGGCUACCAAGCUCACUAGUCCCACUCAUUUGAGACCUAGUGACUCACUCACUAAUCCUCACCAUGGGAAUUAGCUACCACCCCAAGGGCUAUGAUAUGCACGCUAAUCACCUAGCAUGCAAACAUCAACAAUCAUCCACAAUGAUUCACUCACUAAUUCCUCACCAUGGGAAUUAGCUACCACCAUAAAGGCCACAAUAUGCAAGCUAAAUCACUUAGUCAUGCAAACUCGACAAUCAUCCACAAUGGACAUAUGCUCACACUCUAAGCCAUAAACAGUCCAUUCAUAAUUUCAUACAUGAUAGAUACAUUCACCACAUUAUGCAUAUCAUCAUACAUCAUCACAUAUUCACCACAUAAUCAUAUCAUGUCAUACCACAUAAUCAAUCACAGCAUUAGCACACUCUACUAUACCUAUACUACUCAAACCAACGGGAAAUGAUCCCUACUCUAUCAUACAUCAACUAAAUUACAUUACUCAGCUGAACAACCAAAUGCACAACAACAGCACAGAAAAAUCACAAUCCUGCCCAUACGCGUAUUGCCUAGUCCCAUACGCGUAUGGCCCAAUUCUCAGCCAAUCCCAUACGCGUACCACCUAUCUCAUACGCGUAUGCUACGCGUACCACUUCCCCAUACGGUACCAACAGAGACCAAACCACGUUCAAAACAUCAUCUUCUCAUCCAUACGCGUAAUGCCUAGUGCCAUACGCGUACCAGACCAUCUCAUACGCGUAUUGCCUAGUGCCAUACGCGUAUGACCAGAAACCAGAUUUCCAGAUCUGCUAUGGUUUUCUCUGCUACGAGAUCUCCCAAUUCCAACCUCUUACAAUUCAAUUUUACACAGUAAUCGUUCAUAUCAUCUAACACGAAUUAUCCCCUAUUCGAUUUCACAAAUUCUAACAUUUUUACAUCUAAUUCCUACGAAUUCCCUUCAAUUAUAAUCAAAUUUCGUUCAUCCAAAAGUUCACAAUUUCAUCAUGCAUCAUUCUAAUCAGAGUCAAAUCAAUGGUUUAUCACUACCCAUUACAUGUUAUCCCAUAUACCAUUAAUCGACGAUAAACCCCCCUUACUGAGUUAAUCCGACAAUCCUUCAGCUUCAAGCUCUUCCUCUCUUCAACCUUGUUCUCUGGCUCUUUUUCCACUUUUCUGUCUCUUUUCCUUUUCACGUGAAAAUAACCCUUUUACCAAAUGGGACCUUUUCUAAUUCCAACUUUUAUUCCAAUAAUAAUAAUAAUAAUCCAAUAAUUCCAAUUAUUUAAUUAAAUUAAUAAAUAUAAUAUUAACUUAAAUUAAAUAAUUAUCUUAUUUUUUUAUCGGGUGUUACAACUCUCCCCCACUAAAAGAGUUUUCGUCCUCGAAAACAUACCUCAGGCGAAUAACUCCGGAUAAGACUCCUUCAUCUGACUCUCAAGUUCCCAAGUUACAUUGCCACCUGCUGGUCCUCCCAAGCUACCUUUACCAAAGCAAUCUCUUUACCCCGCAACUGCUUCAACUCUCGAUCCUCGAUCCUCAAGGUGAUGUUUCAACAGUCAGGUUAUCUCUCACCUGUACAUCAUCUACUUGGACCACAUGCGACGGAUCAGGAAUGUACCUCCUCAACUGAGACACAUGAAAAAUCAUGCAAAUUCGCGUGACGGCGGUAACGGCGUAUCGAUAGGCUACCCUCCUAUCCUCUCCAAAUCUGAUAAGGACCAAUAAAUCGAGGUGUCAACUUCUUCGACUUCAAAGCUCGACCAACCCCAGUUAUCGGAGUAACACGAAGAACACAUGGUCCCCCUCUUGAAACUCAAGUGACUUCCUUCUGUUUGUCGUGAUAACUCUUCUGACGACUCUGGCAAUCCUCAUCUUCUCCUGAAUCAUCUUAAUCCUUCCGUAGUUUGUUGAACAAUCUCCGGUCAAUCACAGCACUCUCACGGACUCAUACCAACAUAAAGGUGUCCGACAUCUCCUACCAUACAAAGCUUCAACGGUGCCAUACAAUGCUCGAAUGAAAACUAUUGUUGUCGUGUAAACUCAUCAAAGGUAAUAACAAUCCCAAGCACCUCCUUUUUCAAAACACAAGCCCUCAAAAGAUCCUCUAGUGACUGAAUCGUCCUCUCAGUCUGACCAUCAGUCUGCGGAUGAUAUGCAGAACUCAAUCUCAGCUUAGUUCCAAAGCCCUCUGCAAACCUUCCCAAAACUUCGAUGUAAAUCUAGGAUCUCUGUCCGAACAAUACUCGACGGAAUACCAUGCAAACUUACAAUUUUCUCAAUAUACAAUUCAGCUAAUCUCUCUAACGGAUAAUCCAUUCUGAUCGGAAUGAAAUGAGCCGAUUUUGUCAAUUCUGUCAACAAUCACCCAAAUAGCUUCAAAAUUCUUAAUUGUCCUCGGUAAACCAGAAACAAAUCCAUACUGAUACUAUCCCACUUCCACUCUGGAAGCCAAGUUGCAUUAGCCCAGACGGCUUCUGAUGCUCGAUCUUUGACUUCUGACAAGUCAAACAAGAAUAAACAAAACUCGCAAUUUCUCUUUUCAUUCCGGCCACCAAAUAACUUUUCAAAUCAUGAUACAUCUUCGUAGCUCCAGGAUGAAUACUCAGGCCACUACGAUGUCCUUCCUCAAGAAUACUCUUCUUAAGUUCGGUACAUCCGGAAUACACACCGAUUACCAAAUUUCAACACACCAUUCUCAUCAACUCUGAAUUCCACCACUUGACCUUGAUUCACUAGAGUCAACUUAUCAACCAAAAGCACAUCGGAUUUCUGACCCUCUCUAAUCUCAUCUAGAAUACUACUUGUUAACUUCAACAUUCCAAUUUAACACUAUUGUGAGUACUCUCACACACCAAACUCAAGUCUCUAAAUCUGCUCAAUUAAAUCAGUUCCUUAACCAUUAACAUAGACAUAUGCAAUGAUUUCCGACUCAAUGCAUCAGCCACUACGUUUACUUUACCCGGAUGGUGAUUCAAACCAAGUCAUAAUCCUUCAGAAACUCUAACCAUCUCCUCUGUCUCAUAUUCAGCUCUUUCUGAUCAAACAAAUACUUUAACUUUUAUGGUCACUGAAAACCUCAAUUCUCGACCCGUACAAGUAAUGCCUCCAUAACUUCAGAACAAUACCACAGCUGCCAACUCUAAAUCGUGUGUCGGAUAGUUCCUCUCAUGAACCUUCAGUUGUCUCGAAGCAUAAGCUACAACCUGCUUAUUCUGCAUCAAAACACCACCCAAACCCAACAAUGAAGCAUCACAGUAAACUCAAAUAAUUCGACGGACUUGGUAAUAUCAAGAAUAGGAGCAGUAGUUAACCUUCUCUUUAACUUUGGAACUUCUCAAUUUUGAGUCCCAACACAAACGCUGCCCCUUUCUAGUCAACAUCGUCAACGGAACGCCAACUUAGAGAAUCCCUCAAUGAAUUUCCUAUAAUAACCUGCAAGUCCAAGAAACUCCUUAUCUCAAGAACUGACUUCGGAGCUUCCCACUUAGAUACCGCUUCUAUCUUAGAAGGAUCAACAGCAACACACCUCUUGAAAUCACAUGCCCAAGAAAACUAACCUCUUCUAACCAAAAUUCACACUUAGACAGUUAGCAAAUAACUUCUUUUCUCGUAGAACUCCUAAACCACUCUCAAUGCUCAGCAUGCUCCUCUUCAGAUUUCGAAUACACCAAAAUAUCGUCAAUAACACCACAACAAACUUGUCUAGGUACGGAUGAAAAUCCUAUUCAUAUACUCCAUAAAUACCCCAGCGCAUUAGUCACCCAAAGGCAUUACAGAAAUACUCAUAAUGUCCAUACCUUGUUCUGAAAGCAGUCUUCUGAAUAUCCUCAGUUUCACACGUAUCUGAUGAUACCAGAUCUCAAAUCUAUUUGUCUGAACACACUCGCACCAACCAACUGAUCCGUAAAUCAUCAAUCCUCGCAAAGGAUACCGAUUCUUGAUCGUCACUUUAUUCAGUUGCCUGUAUCCACACACAACCUCAUGUACCUUCUUUCUUCUUACCAAUAACACUGUGCACCCCACGGCGACACACUCGGACGAAUAAUUUCUUAUCCAACAGAUCUUCCAGUUGACUCUUCAAUUCAGUUAACUCAACAGAGACAUACGGUACGGAGCCAUCGAUAUCGGCCUAGUACCAGGUACCAAAUCAAUCGAGAACUCAACUUCACGCUCUGGCGGUAAUUAUUCACUUCUUCAGGAAACACAUCAGGAAAAUUACACACCACGGCCAGAUCACAAAUCACACAGUUUAUCUUUCGCCUCCAAAGUCGCUAACAACAUAAACAACUCCGCCCAUCUGCUACUACCUCAUUCACCUGCUUGCUGAUAGAAACAAACUCUUUCCUUCCUCAAUCUCAGGAAAGUCACAGUCUUAUCAAACAGUUGAUAUAAACUCGGUUAACACCACCAGUUCAUACCCGGAUAACAUCAAUCUGCACUAGUGGAAGACACACAAGGUCCAUCCCAAAGUCUCUACCAAAAAUACUCAAAGGACAAUUUAAACAAACUGAAGUAGUAGUCACUGAACCCUUCGCAGAGUAUCAAUCACCAUACUACCAUGCAUCUCAGAUAUCUCUAAUUCAAGUUUCACAGCACAAUCCAAGAUAUAAAGGAAUGAGUCGCACCUGUGUCAUAAUAGCUACAAGAGGAAAGCCAUUAAUAUAACACGUACUCGGAUCAAACGAUCAUCUGCAGAAGUCUCAAACCCGAUAAAGCAAAGACCUUGCCUCCUGACUGGUUCUCUCUCUUCGGCUUAGGACACUGUGGGCUGAUAUGACCCACUUCUCCACAUUUGAAACAAGUCACAGUCUUCAACCGGCACUCUGCAGCCAAGUGACCCUUUUCCACACUUGAACACUUCUUCUCAGCACUGUACACUCAUGGACACGAUGUCCAGCCUGACCACAUCUGUAACACUUAGCAGGGGCACUAGAGUCUCCCCCACUAGGCCUCUUCAUCCCACUCUGUCUCUGAAACCUUUGCCAGCUGCAUACGGUUUUCCACGAUCAUUCUGAUUCUUGCCUUUCCUAUCAACCCUCUGCUGAUAGCUCUCCGCUCUGACCUUGGUAUCCUGUUCAAAAAUCCUGCAACAGUCAACCAAAUCAGAAAACACUCUGAUCCGCUGAUAUCCAAUAGCCUGCUUGAUCUCGGGACGUAACCCGUUCUCAAACUUCACACCUUUGAAAAUUCCCAGUAGCCUCGUUAUAGGGAGUGUAAUACUUCGACAGCUCUGUGAACUUAGCAGCAUACUCAGUAACAGACCGGUUGCCUGCUUCAUAUUCUAGAAACUCUAUCUCUUUCUUUCCUCUGACAUCCUCUGGAAAGUACUUCCUCAGGAAUCUCUCUCUGAACACCGCCCAAGUGAUCUCAGUACUUCCAGCAGCUUCCAACUCAGUGCGGGUAGCAACCCACCAAUCAUCUGCUUCCUCUGACAGCAUAUGCGUACCGAACCUAACCUUCUGGUUAUCGGCACACUCAGUCACUCGGAAGAUCCUCUCAGUCUCCUUCAACCACUUCUGAGCACCAUCUGGAUCGUAUGCUCCUUGACAUUGGAGGAUUGUUCUUCUGGAACUCACUCAGUUGACGAGCAGCUCCCAUUCCACAACAUUCGGAUUCCCUCCAAGUACUCCAGCUAGCAUACCCAGAGCCUCAGCAAUCGCAACAUCGUCUCUACCUCUUCCAGCCAUCUCUAUUCUGAAACCCAACAAGCUAAACAAUAAGUACUGAUAGGGUUACACAACACCUAUCCGUACAGGGGAAACAGAAUAAUUACGACUCGACUCGACCGACUAUGCUCUGAUACCACUAAUGUAACACCCUUCUAAAAUACCCCAAAUAUUUAAUUAAAAUAGCAAUAUAUCAAUCAGAGUAAUUAUGCAAUUAAGGGUGUCACACAAUCAUUUCACACCAUUCACCAAAUAACUGUCAUGCUCUUUUAUUAAUUCAAAACAUAAAGCAUUUGCACAAUACGCAGCGGAUAGAAAUCAAAUCAAUCAUGCAAAACAUGUAGCCUAUUACAUGUAAACUGGGUCACAACCAACAAUAAAACAUUUAAAACAUCCCAUCCCGAUGUUACAUCUACAGAGCAUGACCCACUAAGUGAACUACACUAGACUCCAAGCACUAGCUUNGUGUUGACUUUGCUGCUGGAUAUUGCACUAUAAUCUGUAUCUUUCGGUACGCGAAUCUUGGGUUUUAGAUUUUUUCCGAGUUUUUACAACUUGGUGUCUCUGCAUUCUAAUUUUGUUCUUGUGUGUGUUGUGUUAAUGAUAUGAAAAGGAGAUUUAAGUGGUUACUGGUAGAGUUUUAUCAGAAUAGUCAUACUCCCAAUACCCUUUUUAUUAUUCUGAUACUCAUAUCAUGGAUGCCAUAAUACUGCCUAUUUAUCGCACUUCUUCAGAAAUGUGUUGAAAGGCUCUUCAUUUUAUACAUAAUUUAUAUUGAAGUUUGUGUCUUGAGCACCACUUCUUCUAAUUUUAAGCUUUUUGUUUUACUUCAUUCUUUUCUAACUGUUAAAGAUUUGAUUGUAUCUUCAUGGUGCAGAAUUGUUGUCUCAAGUUCACUACAUUGCUUAGAUUUUGGCUAAGAGGCCUUUUGCUUUACUUUUUUUUUAAUUUUGAAGAGAGGUAAGAGU